AUCGGCAGCAACCUCUCUCAAAUCACCAUAGCUAUUUCUCUCACAUUUUUCUUAAGUUUAUCGGCGAAUCGAACGUGUAAUCGCGUAAUCGGGACUUUCUCGAGGUAGGUACGCCCAAUUAUUAGCCAUGUCAAAGAGUAAGGGGUUGGAAGAAAAAGAAUCAUCGAAAAGAAAGGUUUGGAAGUAAACACCAUCCAGGUGUGUGGAAGAUAUCGCCAGGCUAAGGAAGAAAGGAAAACAAUUGCCUAGCGAAGGAAAUUUGGCAAUAAAGUGAGCAUUAUGAAGGAAAAAUAGCCAGACGGAAGAGAUCGCUAAGCUGAAGGGUAGAACAGAGAUUUCAAGUGAAGGCUUCUAGAAGAUCCCCUCCGCAUCUAUAUAAGAGAGAGCAUGCAAUUUACGAAAAAGAGGAGGAGGAGAAAAUUUUCUUUUGGCUCUCAGCUCAUUCGCACACACUUCUACACACUUGGGUUUCGGAAUUUGAGAGGGGUUCGGGUUUUACUUUCGAUUUGAUGUUGCGUACCACCGUCCUCACGUAGGGCGAAGAAACAAUUUACUGUUUUCAUUUCAGUUUCUGCUGUGAAUUUCACCGAGUCUUAGCUGUUCGAAGCUCGGCUUUUGCUGACUGUUGAAGUACUAUUGAUCAUUCUAUGCAAUUUCUAUUUUCUGUUAUGA